CUAGCCGUCGAAGGUGGGACAAAUGAUUGGGGUGAAGUCGUAACAAGGUAGCCGUAUCGGAAGGUGCGGCUGGAUCACCUCCUUUCUAAGGA
rnacentral:rRNA from 4 species